UCAGGCGGUCGGGCGACCGCUCUCCGUUCGCGGAGGGAGGAAAGUCCGGGCUCCACGGAGACACGGUGCCGGCUAACGGCCGGCGAGGGUGACCUCAGGGACAGUGCCACAGAAAGCAAACCGCCCCGGUUCCGACCGGGGUAAGGGUGAAAGGGUGGGGUAAGAGCCCACCGCGGGGCUGGCAACAGCACCGGCACGGUAAACCCCACCGGGAGCAAGACCAUAUAGGGACGACCGUCGCAGCCUGCGUAUGCGGGUAUGCAACAGGCCCUGUCUUCGGGUCGUCGUCCGGGUCGGUCGCACCGAGGCAGACGGGCAACCGCUGCCCCAGAUGAAUGGUCGCCAUCCCACGAUUUCCCAUCCCAUGGGAUUUUUUGGGACACAGAACCCGGCUUACAGACCGCCUGACCCU
rnacentral:RNase_P_RNA from 1 species